GAUCUAACGAAGAAUCAAAAUGGUGAAGGUGAGGAAAAAGAAGAAGUGAAGCCAUUGGACCAAAAUCUUUGAUGCCCUUUGACCUAUAUCCUUAUUCUAAUAAGGGUUUGACCAAAAGAAAAAAUAAUUAAUUUACUUAAAAAAAUCGAAAAUGGGUGUAAAUACCUACCCACCCUUACUAAACCUAAAAAUUACAGAUCCAACCACAUAAAAUCCGAAAACCCAUUUC
rnacentral:lncRNA from 1 species